rnacentral:rRNA from 1 species
UAGGUGGGAGCCUUUGAAACGUGAGCGCCAGCUUGCGUGGAGGCACCGUUGGGAUACCACCCUGAUCGUAUCUAGGUUCUAACCUGGUACCGUAAUCCGGUGCGGGGACAGUGUCAGGUGGGCAGUUUGACUGGGGCGGUCGCCUCCUAAAGAGUAACGGAGGCGCCCAAAGGUUCCCUCAGAAUGGUUGGAAAUCAUUCGAAGAGUGCAAAGGCAUAAGGGAGCUUGACUGCGAGACCUACAAGUCGAGCAGGGACGAAAGUCGGGCUUAGUGAUCCGGUGGUACCGCAUGGAAGGGCCAUCGCUCAACGGAUAAAAGCUACCCUGGGGAUAACAGGCUUAUCUCCCCCAAGAGUCCACAUCGACGGGGAGGUUUGGCACCUCGAUGUCGGCUCAUCGCAUCCUGGGGCUGAAGUAGGUCCCAAGGGUUGGGCUGUUCGCCCAUUAAAGCGGUACGCGAGCUGGGUUCAGAACGUCGUGAGACAGUUCGGUCCCUAUCUGUCGUGGGCGUAGGAAAUUUGAGAGGAGCUGUCCUUAGUACGAGAGGACCGGGAUGGACGUACCGCUGGUGUACCAGUUGUUCCGCCAGGAGCACCGCUGGGUAGCUAUGUACGGAAGGGAUAAGCGCUGAAAGCAUCUAAGCGUGAAGCCCCCCUCAAGAUGAGAUUUCCCAGUAUGUAAGACCCCUUGAAGACGACGAGGUAGAU